GAGCUCAUCAAGGUGAAGAGCUCAGCAGCCCAGACAACACCUCAGACUGGGCUCAGGCCUCACCACCUCACCCAUUCAGGCCUAAGGCUGAAAACCUGUGAAGCAGCAACACAGAACGAACAAUGAGGUUUUGUCCAGGCUGUCACACUGACACCAUGGGGCCAGACCACGUAUGUGAGCUCCACUCUGCUGCAGUCCCAGCUGGACACAAAGUUCACUUUCAUGGAAAGAGCACAGAAGAACCAUUUUGAUGCACUGAGCACAAGAGAGUUUAAAGAAAGCCAAGGACCAAAUCCUUUUGGAGUGCCAAAGAGAAAACAAGCAAUUACAAAUCGCAACAGUUUUUCCCUGGCACUAGGGAUGCAAUUCCCUAUUAAUGCAAACACACGUCCUGCACUGAGAGGCAAGUUCAUAAACCAGAGGCUUCAAAGGAGUUUCAGUCUCUUCUGCCAGGGAGAAAUGGCUUGAACUUCCAUUUAGAUGCUGAAUUGCCUUUGCAAAUUGCUCUUGCUGCCCACAGUUACAGCUAUGUGGGUGACAGUCACCUGCUGCUCCUAAUCUAUUUAACAUGAGGGAGACAGGAAAAGCAGACAAAGUCCCAACUGGAAAGCACUGCAAACAGUUUAAGAUUGUUUCUAGUUCCAGGAUUCAACAGCUUUAGUUUUACAAGGCAAAGUUAUAUAAUGUAUUUUCUAAAAUUAGAAGCUACUAAAUUAAAAUCUUCAUUUGGUAAUUGUUAAUUCUUAACACUCCAAAGCUAAAGUUCAGCACUAGCAACUGAUACAAACACAGACUCAUCAAAACAGACAUUAUGUGCAGCAAAAACCUACAGGGGAGUUGACAACACAAAGCCCCUUUACUAUUCCACUAUAGCCCUGUAGCUGGAGAUCAUUCAAGCCACUUCUGCUACUCCAAUCAGGCCAGAA